rnacentral:snRNA from 1 species
CUGCUCACUUAGGUAGCACAUACACUAAAAUUGGAAAGAUACAGAGAUUAGCAUGGUCCCUGCACAAGGAGGACCCGCAAAUUCAUGAAGUGUUCCAUAUAAAA